rnacentral:lncRNA from 1 species
GUGAUGGUCAGGAUGUGGGGAGCUUCUUCCAUAAAGCAGAGUCUGAUGGCUGGAAGAAUCUAGAAUUAUAUCAGAAGAAAGGAAAAAUUAGUGGGAAAUGACUUGACUUUACACUCGGUGGUUUGGAACAUUCCAGAGUCGAGAGAAGUUCUUCUUGUCACACGUGAUUUCAUAAUAAUUACGGCCAGCUGUGCCUGGGCAAUUCAGGUCAAGCCAGAUGCCAAAACCCAACUCAAACACUUACAGGAAGAUCCUCCUCAUGAAGAGCCUCCUAACAUCCUGUAGAAAAUCAGAAAAGGUGGUGCUACACAGGAUGCUGGUGUUCUAGAUUAUAAUUCCUGGCCUCGUCCUCACCACCCCGAGAUGUCAGCCUCAAAUGGGAUAGGAAAUAUUCAACCAUAUUUCCAGCCUUCUUUGCAUCAAGUCUGGGACCUCUGUUACUGAAGAAAUACUGGACUGUAAUCACACAAAAUUAUAAUUUCAAUAGAAAGUCUAUUAAUACAUGUUUAAAUAUAGAACAUCUCUUUGAGACUUAUUUUAAUGAAUAUUCUUCCAGAAGUAUCUGUGUUUUAAGGAAGAUAAGGGGAAAGAAUUCAGAGAGAGGACUUUGAAUGCAAAGAGUUCAGAUCUUGGAGCACCUAAGUUGGAGAACAAGAAUUAAAAGCAAGGAGAGGGCUGGCCCCGUGGCUGAGUGGUUAAGUUCGCGCGCUCUGCUGCAGGCGGCCCAGUGUUUCAUUGGUUCAAAUCCUGGGCGCGGACAUAGCACUGCUCAUCAAACCACGCUGAGGCGGCGUCCCACAUACCACAACUAGAAGAACCCACAACGAAGAAUAUACAACUAUGUACCGGGGGAAUUUGGGGAGGAAAAGGAAAAAAUAAAAUCUUAAAAAAAAA